rnacentral:rRNA from 1 species
GACGAACGCUGGCGGCGUGCCUAAUACAUGCAAGUAGAACGCUGAAGGAGGAGCUUGCUUCUCUGGAUGAGUUGCGAACGGGUGAGUAACGCGUAGGUAACCUGCCUGGUAGCGGGGGAUAACUAUUGGAAACGAUAGCUAAUACCGCAUAAGAGUAGAUGUCGCAUGACAUUUGCUUAAAAGGUGCAAUUGCAUCACUACCAGAUGGACCUGCGUUGUAUUAGCUAGUUGGCGAGGUAACGGCUCACCAAGGCAACGAUACAUAGCCGACCUGAGAGGGUGAUCGGCCACACUGGGACUGAGACACGGCCCAGACUCCUACGGGAGGCAGCAGUAGGGAAUCUUCGGCAAUGGACGGAAGUCUGACCGAGCAACGCCGCGUGAGUGAAGAAGGUUUUCGGAUCGUAAAGCUCUGUUGUAAGAGAAGAACGAGUGUGAGAGUGGAAAGUUCACACUGUGACGGUAUCUUACCAGAAAGGGACGGCUAACUACGUG